AACACAUGCAAGUCGAGGGGCAGCGGAGUUGGAAGCUUGCUUUCAACAGACGGCGACCGGCGCACGGGUGAGUAACACGUAUGCAACCUACCCAUGACAGGGGAAUAAGCCGGAGAAAUCCGGUCUAAUACCGCGUACACUCUUUGAGUGGCAUCACUUGAGGAGGAAAGGAAGCAAUUCCGGUCAUGGAUGGGCAUGCGGCGCAUUAGGUAGUUGGCGGGGUAACGGCCCACCAAGCCGACGAUGCGUAGGGGUUCUGAGAGGAAGGUCCCCCACACUGGUACUGAGACACGGACCAGACUCCUACGGGAGGCAGCAGUGAGGAAUAUUGGUCAAUGGGCGCAAGCCUGAACCAGCCAAGUCGCGUGAGGGAAGACGGUCCUAUGGAUUGUAAACCUCUUUUGUCAGGGAGCAACAAGCCACGAGUGGUGUAAUGAGAGUACCUGAAGAAAAAGCAUCGGCUAACUCCGUGCCAGCAGCCGCGGUAAUACGGAGGAUGCGAGCGUUAUCCGGAUUUAUUGGGUUUAAAGGGUGCGUAGGCGGAAGAUUAAGUCAGUGGUAAAAUUGCGAAGCUCAACUUCGUACCGCCAUUGAAACUGGUUUUCUUGAGUGAGCGAGAAGUAUGCGGAAUGCGUGGUGUAGCGGUGAAAUGCAUAGAU
rnacentral:rRNA from 1 species